CGGAUGACGAGGACGAUGAUGAUGAUGACGAGGGAGGUAAUCUUACUAUAGUGGAUAGUUCGAAAGACGAAAUCGAGCCUAUCGAGAAGACGCAAAACCUCGUUAUCAAGGAGGAGUUCCAGCCUGCGACAUCCGUGUCCAACGUACCCCAGCCGGCCGCUAUUUUGGACAAAUUAGGUGACCUGAGCAAAAUUGAUAUCAGUGCCGAAGUAUCCAAAUUGCUUUCUACUCUGAAGGCUCAGAGCUCCGCGACCAACAAGGCGCAAGCAAACUCGAAUCAAGACGCGUCGAAAGCUAAAUCGGCGCAAGAUCCGAAGACGGAUAGCGAGACGUCGUCGAGUCCGAGGCGAUCACCAGAAAUUGUAAUUUAUUGCAAAAUAAACGCAUCUUCUCAUAAUUUUCGAAAUGGAUGAUUUCGAUUUGUUGUUAAUUGCUCUGGUCAACAUGGGAGCACUUUUGGUGCAACGUCGUAGAAACCGUGAACGUCAUCGUCGCCGUCGGCGUGUCUGGGUACGACCAUUUAACACAAGGAGAAGACAGCAAGGAGCGUUUUACAAUCUUUUUCAGGAGAUGAAAACAGAUGAGCAAAUGUUCCACAAGUAUACACACUGCCAACAUUCCAGCACUUGAUGGACAUUGUUAAUCCAAGUUUAAUGAAACGAAGUCCACGGGCACUUGAACCAGAGCAAAGAGUUGCUUUUACAUUGCGAUUUCUGAUUGGAGACAAAGUUCCAGCAGUUGCUUUUGCCUAUCGUGUUGGUUUAUCAACAGUACAUAAAAUAAUUAAAGAGACGUGUGACGUAUU